GGAGACGGUCCCGGCGGUGGAGGUCCUGGAGGAGACGGUCCCGGCGGUGGAGGUCCAGGCGGUUGGCCCGGUGGAGGUCCUGGAGGAGGCUGGGGGAUCCGGCGGUGUUUAGCUCCUCAUCCAUGGAAGCAGGGUUGAAGGAGUCACUGGGGAUGAAGAUCACUGCUCAGGGGCUGACGCCCCCCCCCCCCUCAUCUUUCCGGAGAAGCGUCCUCAUGGUGCAGGCGGUCAAGCAGCUGGAUGACUGACUGGUUCUUUAUGUCCCGGAGCAGAGGACGGACCGAAGGCCUACAGCGCAGCAGACUAGAGACUCUGUGGAACCGGUUCAAUUAAGUUGACCUCUCCUUCAGGCGACUUAAAGGAGACCAUAUGUGCGGCAGCUGGGUGUCAUGGUGCAGAGACCCAACGCUGUACUGAACUACACCAGCGUGUCCUACUCCCAUAAACCCUGAGGAUCCCUGGCUACACCAGCACUUUAAUCCACACCCAACAUCAACACAGUGCACACUCUAUAGAGCUUGUAAGAUAUGACUAGGUUUCAAUGGAGAGAAAGUCAUAAUUUUCUCUUAUGUUGCACCACAUUUUGGGGGAAGAAUGUUUGAAUCAAUCUUUGUCAUUUAUUUCUGUACUCCACGUCUGUAAUCCCAGCUGUUGUAUUUUAACACGGUAGCUGGAACCCUCUUUAUAGGGAGCGACUAGAGGGACAAGGCUGGGAGCAAACCUGAGCCUUGAUCUUAACCUUCUUUCUAAACCUAAUGCCGCAAUUUAACUGCAAAUAAAGUGAGGCCUAAAGUAACUUGACUCUCUUGCCUAAACUUGCUUGCCUAAACUCGCUUGUCUAAACUCGCUUGCAUAAAACCUAAACUCGCUUGCAUAAAACCUAAACUCGCUUGCAUAAAACCUGAACUUCCUUGGCUAAACUCGCGUCGCUUGCCUAAUACCUGAACUUGCUCGCCUAAACUCGCUUGCCUAAUACCUGAACUCGCUUGCAUAAAACCUAACUUGCUUAGCUUGACUCGUUGCCUGUACUCGCUUGGCUAAACUCGCUUGCCUAAUACCUGAAGUCGCUUGCAUAAAACCUAAACUUGCUUUGCUUGACUCGCUUGCCUGUACUCGCUUGGCUAAACUCGCUUGCCUAAUACCUGAAGUCGCUUGCCUGAAGUCGCUUGCCUAAUACCUGAAGUCGCUUGCCUAAUACCUGAAGUCGCUUGCCUAAUACCUGAAGUCGCUUGCCUAAACUCACUUGCCUAAAACCUAAACUUGCUUGUCCAAACACGUUACACAAAGUUAACCAUCCAUAAUCUUUAACCCAAACCAGACUUGUCCCUGGGUCGCUCCACUUUAAUUUAGAAGUUUCUUCUUUUACCUCAUCUGCGUUUUGAGUUUCAUUCUUUGAGGGCUUGAAGUGCUUUGGAGGAUAUUCAAACCUUUGUUUGCCGCAUUUGUUCGCCAAAUGUUCAGUGUCCUUGCAUGUAAUGUCUAUGGUCUGACGAUAAUCUGACCUCUUCAUGAAGCAGAAUGUGUGAAUGUUGUCCCGUGAGCUCCAGGCUCUCUGUGGGCCUGUCAACGUCUAUUUAGCAAAAGGUUGGAGUGAAAUUCAUUUUUGUGCCAUUUUCAUGUGUUCCUGAGUAUUUCAGACCUGUGGUGUUUCACAUGAGACCUUAAUGGGAACUUUUCUUUUUCUGCCUGCAUACGUAAUGCCUACAUUAGUAGGGUGAUCACUGUUGAUCCCAAUAAUGAUCAUUAACCACCUCAUUCUUUUAUGAUUUUUUUCGAUAAGGAUUACAAAUCAUGUAAUUUAUGAGCAUAUUUGCAAAUCGCUCCAAAUAUCAGAUUGUGUAAAAACUGACGAAAUGUAACCUGCUUGAUUUAAAGAAAAUAAAACAUCCAAAUAUUAUAAA